CGCGCAGGCGGUCGUACGAGUCGCGUGUGAAAGCCCCCGGCUCAACUGGGGAGGGUCACGCGAUACUGUUCGACUCGAAGGCAGGAGAGGGAAGCAGAAUUCCCGGUGUAGUGGUGAAAUGCGUAGAUAUCGGGAGGAAUACCAGUGGCGAGGGCGGCUUCCUGGCCUGUUCUUGACGCUGAGGCGCGAAAGCUAGGGUAGCAAACG
rnacentral:rRNA from 1 species